AACGAACGCUGGCGGCAUGCCUAACACAUGCAAGUCGAACGAGACCUUCGGGUCUAGUGGCGCACGGGUGCGUAACGCGUGGGAAUCUGCCCUUGGGUUCGGAAUAACAGUUAGAAAUGACUGCUAAUACCGGAUGAUGACUUCGGUCCAAAGAUUUAUCGCCCAAGGAUGAGCCCGCGUAGGAUUAGGUAGUUGGUGGGGUAAAGGCUCACCAAGCCGACGAUCCUUAGCUGGUCUGAGAGGAUGAUCAGCCACACUGGGACUGAGACACGGCCCAGACUCCUACGGGAGGCAGCAGUGGGGAAUAUUGGACAAUGGGCGAAAGCCUGAUCCAGCAAUGCCGCGUGAGUGAUGAAGGCCUUAGGGUUGUAAAGCUCUUUUACCCGGGAUGAUAAUGACAGUACCGGGAGAAUAAGCCCCGGCUAACUCCGUGCCAGCCGCCGCAGUAA
rnacentral:rRNA from 1 species